rnacentral:lncRNA from 1 species
CCCAGAUAGUCCUCUAUAUGAGAUAUUAUAGGGAUAAACUCUUAACCCGACUUAAACAUUUUGGGUGGUGGCUAGACCCAAGAGGUUAAGAGAGUUAAGCGUGCUAGGACGGGAGUAGUCCUAGGAUGGGUGACCCCUGGGAAGUCGGGGCAUCACAGAUGGUAUCAGAGCCAAUUACCAGCCGGAAGUGUGAGAUGAGUCUCGGCUGAGCCAGGGUCUGGAUGACGGGCUAGCGAGAUGAGUCUCACAUCGCCUGAUACUUAUGAGCCUGACGAGGACGUCAGGGCUUAAAGGAGGGGAGAUUGUGAGACCCCAGAUAGUUCUCUAUAUGAGAUAUUAUAGGACUAAACUCUUAAUCCGGCUUAAGUAUUUUGGAUAGUGGCUAGACCCAAGAGGUUAAGAGAGUUAAGCGUGCUAGGACGGGAGUAGUCCUAGGAUGGGUGACCCCUGGGAAGUCGGGGCGUCACAGAUGGUAUCAGAGCCAAUUACCAGCUGGAAGUGUGAGAUGAGUCUCGGCUGAGCCAGGGUCUGGAUGACGGGCUAGCGAGAUGAGUCUCACAUCGCCUGAUACUUAUGAGCCUGACGAGGACGUCAGGGCUUAAAGGAAGUGUGAGAUGAGUCUCGGCUGAGCCAGGGUCUGGAUGACGGGCUAGCGAGAUGAGUCUCACAUCGCCUGAUACUUAUGAGCCUGACGAGGACGUCAGGGCUUAAAGGAGGGGAGAUUGUGAGACCCCAGAUAGUUCUCUAUAUGAGAUAUUAUAGGGCUAAACUCUUAAUCCGGCUUAAGCAUUUUGGGUAGUGGCUAGAUCCAAGAGGUUAAGAGAGUUAAGCGUGCUAGGACGGGAGUAGUCCUAGGAUGAGUGACCUCUGGGAAGUCGGGGCGUCACAGUUAUAUGAAUAGUAUUGUUCAUCUCAAGAU